rnacentral:hammerhead_ribozyme from 10 species
AAUUGGUUGGGAGCUAUUGCGGCUUCCCUUAUGAGCCCAUGACAGAACGAAACCAAUA